rnacentral:rRNA from 1 species
GCAGUCGAGCGGACCGACGGGAGCUUGCUCCCUUAGGUCAGCGGCGGACGGGUGAGUAACACGUGGGUAACCUGCCUGUAAGACUGGGAUAACUCCGGGAAACCGGGGCUAAUACCGGAUGCUUGAUUGAACCGCAUGGUUCAAUCAUAAAAGGUGGCUUUUAGCUACCACUUACAGAUGGACCCGCGGCGCAUUAGCUAGUUGGUGAGGUAACGGCUCACCAAGGCGACGAUGCGUAGCCGACCUGAGAGGGUGAUCGGCCACACUGGGACUGAGACACGGCCCAGACUCCUACGGGAGGCAGCAGUAGGGAAUCUUCCGCAAUGGACGAAAGUCUGACGGAGCAACGCCGCGUGAGUGAUGAAGGUUUUCGGAUCGUAAAACUCUGUUGUUAGGGAAGAACAAGUACCGUUCGAAUAGGGCGGUACCUUGACGGUACCUAACCAGAAAGCCACGGCUAACUACGUGCCAGCAGCCGCGGUAAUACGUAGGUGGCAAGCGUUGUCCGGAAUUAUUGGGCGUAAAGCGCGCGCAGGCGGUUUCUUAAGUCUGAUGUGAAAGCCCCCGGCUCAACCGGGGAGGGUCAUUGGAAACUGGGGAACUUGAGUGCAGAAGAGGAGAGUGGAAUUCCACGU